UAUGUGUUGUAACAAAGGACCACUGAUGAGGUCACAGGAGUGUGACGAAAGAACUCUGGCCGAAAUAAGAUUAAGAUUAAUGUAAAAAAUUAAUAACGCUGAAGCAACGUAACACCAAACAUAUAGUGCGUGCGUUUUUAUUGGCUAAACUGGCAAAAUGACCAUUCUUAAAUACAACUAUAUAUAUAUAUGUAUUUACACAUACACACACACACACACACACACGCGCACACACUCAA